rnacentral:rRNA from 1 species
UACGUAGGGUGCGAGCGUUGUCCGGAAUUACUGGGCGUAAAGCGCACGUAGUCGGCUUGUCAAGUCGGGUGUGAAAUCCCCGGGCUCAACCUGGGAAUGGCAUUGGAAACUGGCGGGCUUGAGUGUGGCAGAGGGGGGUGGAAUUCCGCGUGUAGCAGUGAAAUGCGUAGAGAUGCGGAGGAACACCGAUGGCGAAGGCAGCCCCCUGGGCUGACACUGACGCUCAGGCACGAAAGCGUGGGGAGCAAACAGG